AACGAACGCUGGCGGCAUGCCUAACACAUGCAAGUCGAACGAGACCUUCGGGUCUAGUGGCGCACGGGUGCGUAACGCGUGGGAACCUGCCCUUAGGUUCGGAAUAACUCCCCGAAAGGGGUGCUAAUACCGGAUAAUGUCUUCGGACCAAAGAUUUAUCGCCUUUGGAUGGGCCCGCGUUGGAUUAGCUAGUUGGUAGGGUAAAAGCCUACCAAGGCGACGAUCCAUAGCUGGUCUGAGAGAAUGAUCAGCCACACUGGGACUGAGACACGGCCCAGACUCCUACGGGAGGCAGCAGUGGGGAAUAUUGGACAAUGGGCGAAAGCCUGAUCCAGCAAUGCCGCGUGAGUGAUGAAGGCCUUAGGGUUGUAAAGCUCUUUUAACCGGGAUGAUAAUGACAGUACCGGGAGAAUAAGCUCCGGCUAACUCCGUG
rnacentral:rRNA from 1 species